rnacentral:lncRNA from 1 species
CUUCUUUAUACUUGCUAUUUUGUCUGUUAGCUCCUGCAAUGUUUUACAAUGAUUUUUAGCUCACUUGUAUUGCAUGACAACAUACUUCUUUCACUCAGUGAACUUUGUUCCUACGCAUAUCCUGAACCCUGCUUGUAUCAUUCCAGACAUCUCAGCCUCAGCCCAGUUCUGAACACUUGCUGGAGAGUUGAUGCAGUCAUUUGGAGGAAAGAAGGCAUGCUGACUUUUUGAGUUUUCAGUGUUCUCACACAGAUUCUUUCUCAUCUUUAUGGGCUUAUCCACCUUCCAUCUUUGAGGUUGCUGACCUUCGGACAGGGUAUUUU